rnacentral:rRNA from 1 species
GUCCACGCCCUAAACGAUGUGUGCUAGUUGUUGGAGGUUCAGCCUUCAGUGACGCAGCUAACGCGUUAAGCACACCGCCUGGGGAGUACGGCCGCAAGGUUAAAACUCAAAGAAAUUGACGGGGACCCGCACAAGCGGUGGAGCAUGUGGUUUAAUUCGAAGCAACGCGAAGAACCUUACCAACCCUUGACAUCCUUAUCGCGGAUCGCAGAGAUGCUUUCCUUCAGUUCGGCUGGAUAAGUGACAGGUGCUGCACGGCU